UGGGGAAUAUUGCGCAAUGGGCGAAAGCCUGACGCAGCAAUGCCGCGUGAGUGAUGAAGGUUUUCGGAUCGUAAAACUCUGUCUUUAGGGACGAAUGUCAGGAUUGUGAAUAAUGGUUCUGAAUGACGGUACCUAAGGAGGAAGCCCCGGCUAACUACGUGCCAGCAGCCGCGGUAAUACGUAGGGGGCAAGCGUUGUCCGGAAUUACUGGGCGUAAAGAGCGUGUAGGCGGGUGAUUAAGUCAGAUGUGAAAACCCAGGGCUUAACCGUGGGAGUGCAUCUGAAACUGGUUACCUUGAGGACAGGAGAGGAAAGUGGAAUUCCUAGUGUAGCGGUGAAAUGCGUAGAUAUUAGGAGGAACACCAGUGGCGAAGGCGGCUUUCUGGCCUGUAACUGACGCUGAGACGCGAAAGCGUGGGGAGCAAACAGG
rnacentral:rRNA from 2 species